AAGCCGUGGUGCAGGCAAUUGUUGGUAUAGCUCCUGAACCGUUCCCAAGCUUCACUAAAACUCUCGUUGGUGUGUUGUGUGAAGCUAGAUAUUUGGUUCCUCAGCUU
rfam:Eutrema salsugineum unplaced genomic scaffold scaffold_11, whole genome shotgun sequence.